AAUAUUGGGCAAUGGGCGCAAGCCUGACCCAGCCAUGCCGCGUGUGUGAAGAAGGCUUUCGGGUUGUAAAGCACUUUAAGUUGGGAGGAAGGCUGCUUAGUUAAUACCUAAGUAGAUUGACGUUACCAACAGAAUAAGCACCGGCUAAUUCCGUGCCAGCA
rnacentral:rRNA from 1 species